AUCGUAGACAUGGCCGGCACGGGUUCAAGUGUAGUAUCUGUUCUUAUCAGCUUAAUAUCUAAUACGGGUUGUAUUUGGACACAAGAUAUUAAACUUAUUUUUGAAAGUUGGUGGAGUGCUUGAAGCCUGCUUCACCUCUGCCGCGCGUCGGCCCUGUAUUGCACGAUCUUUGGUCAAUGGACACCGA